UACGUAGGGGCCUAGCGUUGUCCGGAUUUAUUGGGCGUAAAGAGCUCGUAGGCGGUUCGGUAAGUCAGGUGUGAAAUCUCCACGCUCAACGUGGAGGCGCCACCUGAAACUGCCGUGACUCGAGUCCGGUAGGGGAGUGUGGAAUUCCCGGUGUAGCGGUGAAAUGCGCAGAUAUCAGGAGGAACACCAAUAGCGAAGGCAGCUCGCUGGGACGUUACUGACACUGAGGCGCGAAAGCGGGGGGAGCGAACAGG
rnacentral:rRNA from 1 species